rnacentral:tRNA from 1 species
CACACCAAGAGAUUCCUCCUUUCUCGAUUUUGCAGGUCGAUGUUUUUAAUAAACUAUGGUGGG